rnacentral:piRNA from 1 species
UAUAAUUGGCAAGUUGUUGGA